ACGCUCGACACCUACGGAGGCAGCAGUCGGGAAUAUCGCGCAAUGGAGGAAACUCUGACGCAGUGACGCCGCGUAUAGGAAGAAGGUUUUCGGAUUGUAAACUAUUGUCGUUAGGGAAGAGAAAGGACAGUACCUAAGGAGGAAGCUCCGGCUAACUACGUGUCAGCAGCCGCGGUAAUCUGAGCGGGCUGGCAAGGC
rnacentral:rRNA from 1 species